UACAGAGGUCUCAAGCGUUGUUCGGAUUCAUUGGGCGUAAAGGGUGCGUAGGCGGCGCGGUAAGUCGGGUGUGAAAUCUCGGAGCUUAACUCCGAAACUGCAUUCGAUACUGCCGUGCUUGAGGACUGGAGAGGAGACUGGAAUUUACGGUGUAGCGGUGAAAUGCGUAGAUAUCGUAAGGAAGACCAGUGGCGAAGGAGGCUCUCUGGGACGGUACUGACGCUGAGACGCGAAAGCGUGGGGAGCGAACAGG
rnacentral:rRNA from 1 species